CAGUAGCCGCGGUAAUACGUAGGUGGCAAGCGUUGUCCGGAAUUAUUGGGCGUAAAGCGCACGUAGGCGGACUUUUAAGUCAGGGGUGAAAUCCCGGGGCUCAACCUCGGAACUGCCUUUGAUACUGGAAGUCUUGAGUGUGGAAGAGGUAAGUGGAAUUGCGUGUGUAGAGGUGAAAUUCGUAGAUGUUCGCAGGAACACCAGUGGCGAAGGCGGCUUACUGGUCCACAACUGACGCUGAGGUGCGAAAGCGUGGGGAGCAAACGGGAUUAGAUACCCGUGUAGUCCCUGUCUCUUAUAC
rnacentral:rRNA from 1 species